rnacentral:rRNA from 1 species
UAAUACAUGCAAGUCGAACGAGCUGCGCCUAAUGAUAGUUGAUGCUUGCAUUAACUUGACUUAAGUUAGCAGCGAGUGGCGAACUGGUGAGUAACACGUGGAUAACCUGCCCAGAAGAAGGGGAUAACACCUGGAAACAGAUGCUAAUACCGUAUAACAACGAAAACCACAUGGUUUUCGUUUGAAAGAUGGCCUUUGUGCUAUCGCUUUUGGAUGGAUCCGCGGCGCAUUAGCUAGUUGGUGAGAUAAAGGCUCACCAAGGCAAUGAUGCGUAGCCGACCUGAGAGGGUAAUCGGCCACAUUGGGACUGAGACACGGCCCAGACUCCUACGGGAGGCAGCAGUAGGGAAUCUUCCACAAUGGACGAAAGUCUGAUGGAGCAAUGCCGCGUGAGUGAAGAAGGGUUUCGGCUCGUAAAACUCUGUUGUUAGAGAAGAACGGGCGUGAGAGUAACUGCUCACGUCGCGACGGUAUCUAACCAGAAAGUCACGGCUAACUACGUGCCAGCAGCCGCGGUAAUACGUAGGUGGCAAGCGUUGUCCGGAUUUAUUGGGCGUAAAGCGAGCGCAGGCGGUCUUCUAAGUCUGAUGUGAAAGCCUUCGGCUUAACCGGAGAAGUGCAUCGGAAACUGGGAAACUUGAGUGCAGAAGAGGACAGUGGAACUCCAUGUGUAGCGGUGAAAUGCGUAGAUAUAUGGAGGAACACCAGUGGCGAAGGCGGCUGUCUAGUCUGUAACUGACGCUGAG